rnacentral:rRNA from 1 species
AUUGAACGCUGGCGGCAUGCUUUACACAUGCAAGUCGAACGGUAACAGGCCGCAAGGUGCUGACGAGUGGCGCACGGGUGAGUAAUGCAUCGGAACGUGCCCAGUCGUGGGGGAUAACUACUCGAAAGAGUAGCUAAUACCGCAUACGAUCUAUGGAUGAAAGCGGGGACCGUAAGGCCUCGCGCGAUUGGAGCGGCCGAUGUCAGAUUAGGUAGUUGGUGGGGUAAAGGCUCACCAAGCCAACGAUCUGUAGCUGGUCUGAGAGGACGACCAGCCACACUGGGACUGAGACACGGCCCAGACUCCUACGGGAGGCAGCAGUGGGGAAUUUUGGACAAUGGGCGCAAGCCUGAUCCAGCAAUGCCGCGUGCAGGAAGAAGGCCUUCGGGUUGUAAACUGCUUUUGUACGGAACGAAACGGCUCUGGUUAAUACCCGGGGCUAAUGACGGUACCGUAAGAAUAAGCACCGGCUAACUACGUG